AUUGAACGCUGGCGGCAUGCCUUACACAUGCAAGUCGAACGGCAGCACGGGAGCAAUCCUGGUGGCGAGUGGCGAACGGGUGAGUAAUAUAUCGGAACGUGCCCAGUCGUGGGGAUAACGUAGCGAAAGCUACGCUAAUACCGCAUACGAUCUAUGGAUGAAAGCGGGGGAUCGCAAGACCUCGCGCGAUUGGAGCGGCCGAUAUCAGAUUAGGUAGUUGGUGAGGUUAAAGGGCUCACCAAGCCGACGAUCUGUAGCUGGUCUGAGAGGACGACCAGCCACACUGGGACUGAGACACGGCCCCAGACUCCUACGGGAGGCAGCAGUGGGGAAUUUUGGACAAUCGGGCGCAAGCCUGAUCCAGCAAUGCCGCGUGCAGGAU
rnacentral:rRNA from 1 species